GGAAGGGGUGUAUUUAUUAGAUUAAAAACCAAUGCCCUUCGGGGCUCCUUGGUGAUUCAUGAUAACUCUUCGAAUCGCAUGGCCUUGUGCCGGCGAUGGUUCAUUCAAAUUUCUUCCCUAUCAACUUUCGAUGUUUGGGUAUUGGCCAAACAUGGUUGCAACGGGUAACGGAGGGUUAGGGCUCGACCCCGGAGAAGGAGCCUGAGAAACGGCUACUACAUCCAAGGAAGGCAGCAGGCGCGCAAAUUACCCAAUCCCGACACGGGGAGGUAGUGACAAUAAAUACUGAUACAGGGCUCUUUUGGGUCUUGUAAUUGGAAUGAGUACAAUUUAAAUCCCUUAACGAGGAACAAUUGGAGGGCAAGUCUGGUGCCAGCAGCCGCGGUAAUUCCAGCUCCAAUAGCGUAUAUUAAAGUUGUUGCAGUUAAAAAGCUCGUAGUUGAACCUUGGGCCUGGUUGGUCGGUCCGCCUCGCGGCGUGCACUGAUCCGACCGGGCCUUUCCUUCUGGGGAACCGCAUGCCCUUCAUUGGGUGUGUUGGGGAACCAGGACUUUUAC
rnacentral:rRNA from 1 species